CAUCUUUGUUCAUCACACUGAAAGUUAGAGAAGAGAAAGGAGAGGAGAAAGCUCUUGAGUAUUCGGUCAUUAGGAGGAGGAAAAUUGAAGGAAAUCCCCAACCAUAGUGGGCUUGGAGCUGUGAGGGAAUUCGGAGUGGCCACCCGUUCUGAAAGUUUGAUUUUCUUCUGGUGAACUGGACAUCCUUUUAUUUACGUUUAAAGUUUUUGGGCUUUUAAAUGUAAUAAGGCCGCUUAAUUAUUUUUGAUGGUUUUAAUAUGUAUUACUAAGAUAGGUAAUACUUAUUUUAACUGUUGAAAUUGGAUAGCUUUAGGGCGCGUUUUCAAAAAUAACAA